rnacentral:rRNA from 1 species
ACUCAAAUGAAUUGACGGGGCUCCGCACAAGCAGUGGAGCAUGUGGUUUAAUUCGAUGCUACGCGAAGAACCUUACCGAGGCUUGACAUCCCAGGAAGGCGCUGGAAACAGUGCUGUGCCUUUUAGGAACCUGGUGACAGGUGUUGCAUGGCCGUCGUCAGCUCGUGUCGUGAGAUGUUGGGUUAAGUCCCGCAACGAGCGCAACCCUUAUCGUCUGUUGUAUUUUUCAGGCGAGACCGCCCGGGCCAACCGGGAGGAAGGUGGGGAUGACGUCAGGUCCGCAUGGCCCUUACGCCUCGGGCUACACACGUGCUACAAUGGCCGGUACAACGGGUUGCCAAAUCGCAAGAUGGAGCUAAUCCCAUCAAAACCGGUCCCAGUUCGGAUUGCAGGCUGCAACUCGCCUGCAUGAAGUUGGAAUUGCUAGUAAACGUGGGUCAGCAUACCACGUUGAAUACGUUCCCGGAGCUUGUACACACCGCCCGU